UCCUGAUGCUAAACUAUAUGGGCGGUGAAUCCCCCUGAGCGGAGGGGCAUCAGUCAUCUGCUCCUGAUAAUGCAAGCCUAUUGCGGGUAAAGUGGACUGGCUUUACUCACCGGGAGGCACCCGGCACCGCAGCAAUAUAUUUACUUAUAAGGCAUCACUACGGCGGUGCCUUUUUCUUUUG
rnacentral:sRNA from 1 species